GGGGUUGUAGCUCAGUGGUAGAGUGGUUGCCUAGAAUGCAUCAAGCAUUGGGUUCAAUCUUCAACACCA
rnacentral:tRNA from 1 species